rnacentral:rRNA from 1 species
UACGGAGGGUGCAAGCGUUAUCCGGAUUCACUGGGUUUAAAGGGUGCGUAGGUGGGCAGGUAAGUCAGUGGUGAAAUCUCCGGGCUUAACUCGGAAACUGCCGUUGAUACUAUCUGUCUUGAAUAUCGUGGAGGUUAGCGGAAUAUGUCAUGUAGCGGUGAAAUGCUUAGAUAUGACAUAGAACACCCAUUGCGAAGGCAGCUAACUACACGAUCAUUGACACUGAGGCACGAGAGCGUGGGGAGCAAACAGG